rnacentral:rRNA from 1 species
GACGAACCGAGCGAACGUUGUUCGGAAUCACUGGGCUUAAAGGGCGCGUAGGCGGGCUCGCCAGUCUGUGGUGAAAUCCCCCGGCUCAACCGGGGAAUGGCCGUGGAUACUGCGAGUCUCGAGGGAGGUAGGGGCGUGCGGAACAGAUGGUGGAGCGGUGAAAUGCGUUGAUAUCAUCUGGAACUCCGGUGGCGAAGGCGGCACGCUGGACCUCUUCUGACGCUGAGGCGCGAAAGCCAGGGGAGCAAACGGG